rnacentral:rRNA from 1 species
UACGUAGGGGGCUAGCGUUGUCCGGAAUCAUUGGGCGUAAAGAGCGUGUAGGCGGCCCGGUAAGUCCGCUGUAAAAGUCAAAGGCUCAACCUUUGAAUGUCAGUGGAUACUGCCGGGCUAGAGUCCGGAAGAGGCGAGUGGAACUCCUGGUGUAGCGGUGGAAUGCGCAGAUAUCAGGAGGAACACCAACGGCGAAGGCAGCUCGCUAGGACGGUACUGACGCUAAGGCGCGAAAGCGUGGGGAGCGAACAGG